rnacentral:rRNA from 1 species
UACGUAGGGUGCAAGCGUUGUCCGGAAUUAUUGGGCGUAAAGAGCUCGUAGGCGGUCUGUCGCGUCUGCUGUGAAAACUCAGGGCUUAACCCUGAGCUUGCAGUGGGUACGGGCAGACUAGAGUGCGGUAGGGGAGACUGGAAUUCCUGGUGUAGCGGUGAAAUGCGCAGAUAUCAAGAGGAACACCUGCGGCGAAGGCGGGUUGCUGGGCUGACACUGACGCUGGAGGCGCGAAAGCUAGGGGAGCGAACAGG